rnacentral:rRNA from 1 species
UACGGAGGGUGCGAGCGUUGUCCGGAAUCACUGGGCGUAAAGGGCGCGUAGGCGGUUUGACAAGUCUGAUGUGAAAUCUCUGGGCUCAACCCAGAGUCUGCAUUAGAAACUGUCGGGCUUGAGUAUGGGAGAGGUGAGUGGAAUUUCCGGUGUAGCGGUGAAAUGCGUAGAUAUCGGAAGGAACACCUGUGGCGAAAGCGGCUCACUGGACCAUAACUGACGCUGAGGCGCGAAAGCUAGGGGAGCAAACAGG